rnacentral:rRNA from 1 species
GACGAACGCUGGCGGCGUGCUUAACACAUGCAAGUCGAACGGAAAGGCCCAGCUUGCUGGGUGCUCGAGUGGCGAACGGGUGAGUAACACGUGGGUGAUCUGCCCCUAACUUCGGGAUAAGCUUGGGAAACUGGGUCUAAUACCGGAUAGGACAAUCGUUUAGUGUCGGUUGUGGAAAGUUUUUUCGGUUAGGGAUGAGCCCGCGGCCUAUCAGCUUGUUGGUGGGGUAAUGGCCUACCAAGGCGUCGACGGGUAGCCGGCCUGAGAGGGUGGACGGCCACAUUGGGACUGAGAUACGGCCCAGACUCCUACGGGAGGCAGCAGUGGGGAAUAUUGCACAAUGGGCGGAAGCCUGAUGCAGCGACGCCGCGUGGGGGAUGACGGCCUUCGGAUUGUAAACCUCUUUCGACAGGGACGAAGCUUUGGUGACGGUACCUGUAUAAGAAGCACCGGCUAACUACGUG